rnacentral:rRNA from 1 species
GUCACGAACCCUAUAUACAGUACUGAAUGACCUUAUAAAAUUAUAAGAUAGAUAAUGUUAAAACUAGUAACAUGAAGAAGCCCUUCUCCUUAAUGCAAGCAAACACCGAAACGGACUAACCAUCGGUUCUUAACGUUUAUGAGCCUAACCUAGUAACACCUCUCCGAAAAGCCUACACUCUAAACACGUUAACCUCACACUAGAGCAUUUCUGGAAAGAUGAAAAGAAAGAGAAGGAACUCGGCAAAUUAAAAUCCCGCCUGUUUACCAAAAACAUCGCCUCUUGACAUUAUACAUUCUUAUAAGAGGUCCAGCCUGCCCAGUGACAUUUUAAACGGCCGCGGUAUCCUGACCGUGCGAAGGUAGCAUAAUCAUUUGUUCUUUAAAUGAGGACUAGUAUCAACGGCAUCACGAGGAUUUUACUGUCUCCUUUUUCUCAUCAGUGAAACUGAUCUCCCCGUGAAGAAGCGGGGAUAAUACUAUAAGACGAGAAGACCCCAUGGAGCUUAAAACCAAUGACAUCUCAAAUCUAUUUCUUUCCCCCAAGUUUUUAUGCCCUGUCUACCGGUUUUGGGUUGGGGCGACCGCGGAGUAUAACUUAACCUCCACAACGCACGGAACUUCCUCCUUAUCUAAGAGCCACGUCUCAAAGAAUUAAUAAAUUGACGUAAAAUGAUCCAAUUAUUUUGAUCAAUGAACCAAGUUACCCUGGGGAUAACAGCGCAAUCCAUUUUUAGAGCUCCUAUCGACAAAUGGGUUUACGACCUCGAUGUUGGAUCAGGGUAUCCCAGUGGUGCAGCCGCUACUAAUGGUUUGUUUGUUCAACAAUUAAAACCCUACGUGAUCUGAG